UACGUAGGGUGCGAGCGUUAAUCGGAAUUACUGGGCGUAAAGGGUGCGCAGGCGGUCUUGUAAGACCGGUGUGAAAUCCCCGGGCUCAACCUGGGAAUUGCGCUGGUGACUGCAAGGCUAGAGUACGGUAGAGGGGGGUGGAAUUCCUGGUGUAGCAGUGAAAUGCGUAGAGAUCAGGAGGAACACCGAUGGCGAAGGCAGCCCCCUGGGCCUGUACUGACGCUCAUGCACGAAAGCGUGGGGAGCAAACAGG
rnacentral:rRNA from 1 species